GGGCUCAUGGUCCAACGGGACGACGCCGGCUCGGCAGGUCGCCAGCGUUGAUUGAUCACGGGGCUGGGUUCAAUUCCCAGUGGGUCCA
rnacentral:tRNA from 1 species